CCUACGGUCGGCAGCAGUGGGGGAUAUUGCACCAUGGGGGGAACCCUGAUGCAGCGACGCCGCGUGGGUGAAGAAGCGCCUCGGCGCGUAAAGCCCUGUCAGCCGGGAAGAAACUGACGGUACCUGAAGAAGAAGCCCCGGCUAACUACGUGCCAGCAGCCGCGGUAAUACGUUAGGGGCAAGCGUUAUCCGGCUUUACUGGGUGUAAAGGGGGAGCAGACGGCGGUGCAAGCCAGGAGUGAAAGCCCGGGGCCUAACCCAGGGACUGCUCUUGGAAAUGCGUGGCUGGAGUGCAGGAGGGGCAGGCGGAAUUCCUGGUGUAGCGGUGAAAUGCGUAGAUAUCAGGAGGAACACCGAUGGCGAAGGCGGCCUGCUGGACUGCAACUGACGUUGAGGCCCGAAAGCGUGGGGAGCAAACAGGAUUAGAUACCCCAGUAGUC
rnacentral:rRNA from 1 species